rnacentral:rRNA from 1 species
AUUGAACGCUGGCGGCAGGCCUAACACAUGCAAGUCGAGCGGAUGAGGGUAGCUUGCUACCUGAUUCAGCGGCGGACGGGUGAGUAAUGCCUAGGAAUCUGCCCGAUAGUGGGGGACAACGUUUCGAAAGGAACGCUAAUACCGCAUACGUCCUACGGGAGAAAGUGGGGGAUCUUCGGACCUCACGCUAUCGGAUGAGCCUAGGUCGGAUUAGCUAGUUGGUGAGGUAAUGGCUCACCAAGGCUACGAUCCGUAACUGGUCUGAGAGGAUGAUAAGUCACACUGGAACUGAGACACGGUCCAGACUCCUACGGGAGGCAGCAGUGGGGAAUAUUGGACAAUGGGCGAAAGCCUGAUCCAGCCAUGCCGCGUGUGUGAAGAAGGUCUUCGGAUUGUAAAGCACUUUAAGUUGGGAGGAAGGGCUGUAGGCUAAUAUCCUGCAGUUUUGACGUUACCAACAGAAUAAGCACCGGCUAACUUCGUGCCAGCCGCCGCCGUAA